rnacentral:lncRNA from 1 species
UUAAAGAGGAGAACCUGAAUUCAUUUUCCAGAAAUCAUGUCACAGAUAUAUUUUUUUUCCUUGAACUAAGCAAGUGUGGGAAAAUAUAUCCCAGAAAUUUUUGCUUUAAACCAUGAAAAUAUUUUUUUAGGAUAUUAAAAUACGCUAGGAAAAAAGAGCAUCAAUAGUUUCCAACCUUUCUUGCAGCGUUACCAGAUGUUCCUGAAUGUUAAGCCUGGAUCACUUGUUCAGUUGCAAGUGAAACAAGCUUGAAAAGCAGGCCACUAGCAAGAUCAGCUACCAAUGCAUCAGCCAUGUUUAUGAGUAUAGCUGUUUAGUAAAACAAAUGUUUGUAAUGUAUGGAAAUGUAUAGCAGAUUACAAUGAAAUAAUAUUGCAGAUUCUUGCUUCGAACUGGGUUGAGCAGAAGCCAGUGAAUGAUGGGUAGGGUAGUUAAAUUACAAGUUAAAAUGCAAAUUUCAAUGUGUAGUAAUGCAGAUUCCAAAGAUUUUCGCCAGAAACGAGUGAAUAUUUGCAUUAAAAAUUCAAUUUUUGCCAAUUAAUUAAUACUAAUCUCCCAGUACCCUCCAACUCCAAUACAUUACCUCUAGCACUAGCUAUAAGUUAUCCCUGAGGAAAUAAGAAAUACAAUUCACGUGAUCCUUUCAUUUCUUAUGACUUUCCACUUUUAUAUUUCCUUAUUUUUUGUCUCAAAAUAAUUUGAUUUCCAUUAUUAAUUAAAGCGGAGAAUGUGAAGUCAUUUUCCAGUCUCCAGAAAUCAUGUCAUAUAUUUCAGAGAAAUUAUUCUAGGAUAAUAAAUAUUUUACUUUCUAGGAACUAAACAUAAAACAAGUGCAGGAAAAUAUCAUAAGUUUAUCUAUGCACCAGCUCUCCCUUUGGACAUUCUGGUAUGUAGGUUGGAGUAGUAGGUUGAAUGCAUUGCAUCUAAUAAAUCCUCCCAGAAGGGUCCUAAUUCCAGAUAUUUUAGACCAUAUAUCCAACCCUUUAAUGACAUUAAUAGUAUUCAGGUCAGGCAAAUCAUGCACACUCUUUAAGCCUACGUCAGGUGUCAAGUAUGUCGAUCCCCGUAACUUAUAAGUAAUCCUUAAUAUUAAAUUAAAAUCAUUAAUCUAUCAAAUUUUUUAAAAUCAAUAAUCUAUCAAAUUUAUUUUAUUAAUAUUUUAGUAACUUAUAAGUACUCCAUAAUAUUAAAUUAAAAUCAAUAAUCUGUCAAACUUUCUAUUAUUAUUAUGUUAAUAACUCGGAAAUCAUCUAUAAUACUUAAUUAUCCAAACAGACAUUUUAAGCGAGGCACUUACUACAAGAGCAUCUCCAAUGAGGAUCUUAAAUCACUCUUUAAAAUAUAAUAUAAUAUGUGGCUCAUACUGAGUUAAGAUAUUAAAAAAAGAUGACAACUCUUAUCUAUACUUGCUCCUUAUUCAUAUUUUAUUCCUACAAAUGAGAGGGAAAGUACAAAAACAGAAAUGUUGGAGAUAAAAUUGGAAGAAAAUUAAUAUUAUAUUCAUAAAUAAAAAGCUAAGAGCUACUAGAUGCUCUUUAAAGAGAGGAAAAAUGCCGGCUCUUACAUUUUUAAAGAGUUUUCAGGAGCCCAGUCGAGCUCUAAUUUUCAUCUUACUCUUUAAAUUUGAAAUUAAAAGCUUGUUUAGAGAGUCUGUUGAAAAUACGAGGCAUACCCAUAUAUUGAAGGAUGAAGGCUGGUGCACCAUUUGCGAAAUGAAUUAAGUAUUUGGUAAAAUUCAAAUGUAGGAGUAAUAUAUAUGAUGCAUCAAAUAUUUAUCAUGAGACCAUGAGUAAAAUUAACUUGACAUAUACGUAUUAUUUUAUCAACUUCAACGAAAUAACGAAUGUCUUUUAUUAUUUCUUAACUAUUAUAUUGCAUGAUUAGAUGUCAAAGUGCAUGAUAAUUGCCUCGCUUGAUUCGUAUUUAGAAUAGAGCAAGUUUAUUAUGUGUUGUUAACUAACAAAUAACAAUGAUAGAAUACAGAAAUGUAACAGACCUCAUUCAAAUUUUCUUAACAUCACUGUAUGACGUUACUCUCAUCAGCCGAGCCCCACUAUUUGUUUGAUGUGUUGGAUUUUGGACCAUUCCGGCCCACUUCCCCUCCUGUAUCUUUCUUUUAUUAUAGGACAUCCAAUUAUAUCCAGGUACUGAAAGUUGUGAUGGAACUUUGGCAAACUCUCCAAAUUUCCACAAUUCCAAAUAUAUAAACUCUCCAGAAAUGGAAGCUUUGCUAGUGAGAUGGGAAGAGAUUUCACUCCUUUAAAACUGUCUAUCCAUAAUUGACGCAAGGCAGGGAAGAUGGAGGAGAGAUAAUCAUCAGGUUGGCCUUCAUCCACUAUCCACUUUAGCUUUUCCCACCCACUCACUGUUAGCUUGAUUACAUUGGGAAAAGAAAAAGACAAAGGCCAUGGGAAUUCAUCUAAAUCCUCUGAGAAUGGUCCUAAUUCCAAUCUUUCAAUUGUACAACUCACACUUUGGGCAAACACCUCAUAGUUCAGACACUUCGAAAUGGAAAGAUAUUUUAGAGCAUCCGACCCUUUGACAAUAUUAAUAGUAUUCAGGUCUGGCAAAUCACUCACACAUAAACUCUUUAAACCUGCGCCGAGUGUCAAAUGUGUCAAUCCCUGUAACUUUAUUACCCUCAAAGUUUCCAAAGAGACAGAAUUGUUUUUCAAGAGCUUGCCGAUUAUGCAGUUCAUACUUGAAGAAGAACAAGAUGAGGAGGAGGAGCAUCCUACUCUGCCACUGAUAUUAUCGAGGUAUACACCUGUGAGGCCGCAUGCCUUUUCGCUCAUUGAUUCCAGUAGCUUGCUGUUGUCCAAGUCUUUGAUCUUCAGAGUCUUCAUCAACGGAUAACAACUUCCCGGAAUCCUUGUCAACUUUGGACAUCCCCAAAUAAUUAACUCCACGAGUUCAGAAAAUGCUAGCACAUUAUUUCGGUCUUCAUCGCUUGUAUCCGUGGCUGGGUCUAGCCAUUCUUCUAGCUUUGGCAUAUUGUUUAAAGAAAGAUUUUUCAAUGACGGAUACAUUGUUAAAACUGUUUCUUCUGCCCCAUCAUCAUUUAACUCACCACUAAUGCUACCCUGUCUACCUCCACAUAAAUGGCUGCUUAUAACCUUGACGUUAUCCAUCCCUUCUAUAUCGAUCAUCCGCAAUUUAGGAAGAUGACCCAGCUGUGGAAACUCUUCACAUCUGUUGCAAUUUAUGAAGGUGAUAACUUCCAAGUUUGUCAUGAUUGUAAUCCAUGCUGCAAACUUCUUUCCCAUAAAGUUCUCAACAAUCAAUUCUCUUAGAUUUGCAUGAGGUUCUAAUCCUUCCAUCACAUCCUCAUGGUUGUUUUCUUUUUCUUCCAUCACAUCUUUAUUCUUUCUCCAGUCUAACUGUAAUCGCUCAAUAUUCGAUUUUGUAAGCAAACUCGCCUUCCUGGCUUCUUCCAUAUUCUCUACAUCACUAAGGCCAUAAAGCGUCAGAGUACCUUGAAGAUUUCUUAAACUUCCCAGUUGUCCAAUAACACAUUGAUGAUCUCUACUCACAAUAAAAAAAGGCAGCGUUUGGAGACAAGUUAACCUCUCUAUCCGAGAAAACACAGUGAUGAUGUCCGAAUUCUCAAAGUCGUAGUAAGGCGCAUCGACCAGAAUAUGUCUUAAAUUGAUUAAGUUGCAAAUAUUUCUUGGAAGCUGUGUUACACUCCGAACGCUCAAUGUCUGCAAGUUGUAGAGUCUCGUAAUGUAAUCAGGUAAUUUAUUCUUAGUCAUGUAGCAUCUUGAGAUAUCCAGAUACUUAAGAUACUUCAGAGUGCUCAAUGAACUUGGCAACGGAUCAUCUUCGAAGGUUCCUUCGAGAACCAAACCAAUUAAGUGACUGGGGUAAGGCACCAAGUCCUUGACGAUGGGAGCAUCUGCGUAUAAUACUUGUACUUUCUCAAAAUUUCUCUUAAGAAGGGGUGGCUUAAUAUUUGUAAUCCCUUUAUCAACCUUCACAUAUAUGGCCUUGGAAAUAUCGUUUAACUCAUGACCAUCAGCCUUCACCGUUGCAGAAUGAUUUCUGGAUAGAUCUAGUGCUAGAUCAUGCACCAGAUCAUGCAUCUUGUAAUCACGUAUGUCGCCAUUUUGUAACAAACAAUUCCCCAACAAUAUGUUAAAGUAUUCCCUCCCUAUAUCUUCCAUAAGCUUAUUGCUACCUUUAGGGGGCAAAAGGAAUCCUAAUGCCAUCCAUAUACGUACCAUUUCAUCUUUUGAGAUACGAGAAUCCUUUGGCAAAAUUGAACAAUAUGCAAAACAUUUCUUUAGAGAAGAAUGAGGUAGAUUAUCAUAAGACAACCUCAAGGAAGGCAAUACAUCAUCGUUCGAAUCCCACGUUGCACUAUCUUGAAUCCGCAACCACUCUUGCUCAGACUUCUUAGAGUGCAGUAAACCCCCUAGUGCAUUUAUUGCCAAAGGCAGGCCACCACACCUUUCCACCAUUUCUCUUCCCAUGGCAGCAAAUCUCGCCGUCUCUAUGACUCCUCCUCGUGAAAAUGCUCUUCGCUUGAACAAUUCCCAGCUAUCUUCUUCUGAUAGUUUCUCCACCCUAUGAGUAAUAAAACAGCGCAUGACAUCAACGACUUUCUGUUUGCGAGUCGUAACUAAAAUCAUGCUUCCACUCGCUCCACCAACCCCGAGCAAGGAAUCCCUUAACUUAUUCCACUUCUCUGUUCUCUCAUUCCAGACAUCAUCUAAGACGAGUAAAAACUUUACGUCCCUUAGAAAGCUUUGAAGUUUCUUAAUGAGUCCCUCUGUAUUUUCCAACACCGAAGCAGUUGAAGUGAGUGAUGCUACCAUUUGAUUUAAAAUUUUCAUGAAAUCAAAGUCAUCCGAUACAGUGACCCACAUCCUCUUCUUGAACAUAUCGGUUACAACAUCUCUGUUGUAAACCAUACGAGCAAGAGUUGUUUUGCCUUGACCUCCCAUCCCCAUUACAGCAAUGACUGGUAAAUCCUCUGCAUGAUUUGUGCACACUGUUUUGACUAAAAAUGAUAUUUCAUCAUCUCUUCCAACUAUUAGUGACUCGUCUUCAAAGGGGGGAGUAUUGCGGAUUUCCCUGGCCUGCACAGUAGUAGUUAAUUGCGCCAAAGUCCCAGAUCUCUGGCCAAUUGAAAAAUUUUGUCGAAAGAAGUAUGGAUAGACUUGAUCUUAUGAGCAACCUUAAAACGAUAAAGUAUGCUCUUCUUCGUAGAAAAAAAGUCCCUCACCUUACUACGAUUUUCAACCUUUUGCCGAGUGACUUCGUAAGCAAGUUCAUCCAUGAAAGCAUCAGCUACAUGAGCAACAUCCUCCAGCUUGUUGAACCAGCUCUGGACAGCAGACAUGUUUAGCCUUUUGCUAUCAGCAUCGGACAAGAGAGCAUCAAUAGUUUCCAACCUUUCUCCCAGCGUUACCAAAUCUUCCUGAAGAUUCCAAGCCUGGAUCAAUUCUUCAGCUGCAAGUGAAACAAGCUUGACAACCAGGCCACUAGCAAGAUCAGCCACAAAUGCAUCAACCAUGUUUGUAUAGCUGUAUAGGAAAAGAAAUGUUUGUAAUGUAUGGAGAUUAUAAUUUGAUACUCCAGAACUUCCAAUGCGUUGAAGUUAAGUAACAAUGAAAUAAUGCAGAUUCUUGGCCCGAAUACAAUUUGCACAAAAAAUACAAUUUGUGUCAGCAUCAACUCGUCAACUGAAUCAACUACCCUUGCCAACUAAUCUCACCAACUCCAGUACAUUACCUCUAGCACUAUAUAUAAGUUAAUGCCCAGGAAAUUAAAAAUGACCAUCCGUCUACCCCUGCUUAUUGGUUUGUUUCUUGUGACUUUCCAUUUUCUUAUUUCCACAUUUUUUUGCCCAAAAAUAAAUUGAUUUUCCAGAAACUAAGAACCAACUCCGCCGUGAAAAGCCCUUAGACUAUAAAUUGAGUUAGAUGCCAAAAAUAAAAAAAUAUAGAUAAUUUUUUUAAAACUCACUCAAAACAUAUAUGUAACUGCCACAUCAUCAAUUACCAUAUUAAAAAAAUACAUUUUAUUUAUAAUAAUUUCAAAAUAAUAAUAUAUUAUUUUUAAAAUAUAACCAAUCAAUAUUAUCGAAAUAAAAAGUUUUACAGCUUGAGCAAAUUUUACAUAAUGUUUCAAUUUAGCCAAACAUAUAACCGACCUAAUUAGAGAUGCUCUCAACAAGCGUUGAACAUAUUUUUCAAAAGUUUUGAUUUUGAACAAUAAAAAUAUUUUUAAGAAUCAAUACCCUUUAUUAAUAAGCGAAACCACGUUUCAGUUGAACAUCAGUACGAAAACACCAAAAUUUGGUCAUCAUAUAUUAUAUUUAAUUAUUAUUAUUAUAUCAUUAUUAUACUCCUAUUAAAAGUAUUAUACUCCAAUUAAAAGAUAUAAGACAUAUAUAUUGUUCAGGACUUUUUUACAUAACAAUUAUUCAUGAUAUCAUUCUAUCCCAAUAUAACUAAAUAUUUUAAUUUAGGGUAAGAAGGGUAGUUUAUAAACAGAGAUAUUACUCGAAGUGAAGGUACUCUAAUUAGUAUAUUGUUCAUUUAAACAUUAUAUGUAAUUUUUCGAGUUUUUUGAUUCAUAUAUAUAUGUAUAUUUUAUCUGGUUCUUUAGUUUUGUGAUCAAUUUAUUGUCCAUAUAUAAUACUCUUGCACGAGUCCAUAUAUACAAAUGAAAUUCUUACUUCGCUGCAAUAAACAUGGGUAUUUAUGAUGGAUAACUUAUUACGAAAAAGGUGGGCGCACAUAAUUAACUUAUAAUGGAAAGACAAAAUCGUCAAAUGAUAUAAUACAAACAUAUGACAGACACAGCUCCCGUCGUAUUAUAAGAUGUGUGUAAUAAAAUUUUAGCACUAACAGAUAAAAUAGCAAUAAUAUUAUUUCACGCAUCAAAAUCGUCGCAAGUUCGCGUCGUAAUAUUGCUGAAGACCAAGUUAAAUGUCGUUCUAAAAGCGUUGUCUUAAAAAAAUGCGCGGUCCAAAUAAAUAUGAUAGCUUUUACCGUAAUAUAUACAAAUGAUAGUCCAACUCUUAUAAUUAUAAAUCCAAAAUCAGCCCUCCACAACUUACGACCGUAUUUUUGUCGUAAUAUCAAUGAUACUACCGUCGAACCUAUCAUCGUAAAAUCUAUUCCAAAAAGUGAGUGAGGGUCCCAUAUAUUACUAACGACGACAAUUUUGUCGUAAAAUACUAUAACUAACGAUAGUAUAUUUGUCGUAAAUAUAUUGGUCCCACAGUAAUAAGGGUAAUGAAUUCUAUUUUUAUUUAUUAAAAAGUUUUGAAGACACGUAUUAUUUUUAUUUCUUAGUCUUUUUUAGUAAAAAAUGCUUUGCUUAUACUUUCUUACUACACGUGGUUGAUAACAAUGCUUGCAACUUCAAAAUAUAUAACAUUUAUCAAUAGUUUAAUUUCAAAAGUUUAUAUUAAUUAAUCCAAAUGUAAGUGUCACUUAUUUCUUUUAUUUAUUAAAUGUAUCAAAGACCAAUCUCUAAUAAGAAGAUAUGAAGAAUGUGAAUUAACUAUCUUGCAAUAUUUGAUUAUCCACGUAACUACAUAAUAAUAAAGUGUACAUGUCUAUAUACCUAUCAUUAUACGUAGAUACAGUCAUUCAGACUUAUUUAUUUAGUUUAACGUAUAAUUUAAAAUUCUAUUAAUAUAAUGUCCAGAUUGACGUAUAAUGUUGAGUUUGAUGAAUAAUUUCACUUUAAUGUUCUUGACAUAUAAUAAACUUAAAUAUUACAAAAUUAUGUCUAACAUAAAAUUUUCGACCUAAUUUGUAUGUGAAAAUUAAAAUAUUAUUUAGUAUCAAAUUUAUUUUGAAAUAAUAAUAAACAAACAAUAAAUAAUUGACGCCCGUGCGCGGAACGUAAUACUCUGUCUCCUAAUAAUAGUGGGACGAUGCAUUCUCAGAGCAUGUUACCUGGCUCAAUGCUGAACGCGGGCCUCUAUUUUAAACUAAUUAAAUCAAUUUGUGAUAUAUACUAUGAUUGAUAGAUCAAAUCAUCACAGAUGACAAAACUAUCUUCUAAUAUGUGUGUUCUGUAGAAAAAGGAAGGAUAGAAUUUCAGACCGCAUGCAUUGAUGCUAACCAAGAUUUAAAAACACUCAAGACAAUAGUUUUGAUCAAUAUUGGUAAGGUUGUCUAACAAACCACUAUUAAUGCUGAGGAUCUAAACUUCUUCUGUUUAAAGUUUUUGUUUUUCUAUCUCUCUUUAUAUACUAAUAUAGGACAAUCAAGCCCAAAUAUUUGUUUGAUGUGUUGGAUUUUGGACCAUUCCGGGCCACUUCCCUUCAUGUAUCUUUCUUCUAUUAUAGGACAGUCAAAUAUCAUCAGGUACUGAAGAUUGUCAUGGAACUUUAGCAAACUCUCCAAAUUUGCACAACCAGUAAUAGAUAAGCUCUCUAGAAAUGGAAGCUUUGCUAGUGAAAUGGGAAGAGAUUUCACUCCUCUAAACAAAUCUAUGUGUAAUUGACGCAAGGCAGGAAAGAUGGAGAAGAGAUAAUCAUCAGGUUUCCCUUCAUCCACUAUCCACUUUAGCUUUUUCCACCCAGUCACUGUUAGCUUGAUUACAUUGGGAAAAGAAAAGGAUGAGGGCCAUGGGAAUUCAUCUAAAUCCUCCGAGAAGUCUCCUAAUUCCAAAGAUUCAAUUGUAGAACUCACAUUUUGGGCAAGCACCUCAUUGUUCGGACACCUCAAAAUAGAAAGAUCUUUUAGAGCAUCGACCAUUUGAUUGUUUUCAGGUCAGGCAAAUCAUGCACACUUAAGCUCUUU